AACGAACGCUGGCGGCAUGCCUAACACAUGCAAGUCGAACGAGAUCUUCGGGUCUAGUGGCGCACGGGUGCGUAACGCGUGGGAAUCUGCCCUUUGGUUCGGAAUAACAGUUGGAAACGACUGCUAAUACCGGAUGAUGACGAAAGUCCAAAGAUUUAUCGCCAGAGGAUGAGCCCGCGUAGGAUUAGCUAGUUGGUGUGGUAAAGGCGCACCAAGGCGACGAUCCUUAGCUGGUCUGAGAGGAUGAUCAGCCACACUGGGACUGAGACACGGCCCAGACUCCUACGGGAGGCAGCAGUGGGGAAUAUUGGACAAUGGGCGAAAGCCUGAUCCAACAAUGCCGGGUGAGUGAUGAAGGCCUUAGGGUUGUAAAGCUCUUUUACCCGGGAUGAUAAUGACAGUACCGGGAGAAUAAGCUCCGGCUAACCCCGUGCCAGCCGCCGCCGUAA
rnacentral:rRNA from 1 species